rnacentral:lncRNA from 1 species
AUUGCUAUCUCUCCUCUUCUUUGAUCUUUGCUUUGGGACAACAUGGGCUAUCUUUUCUUUCUUUUUCUCUCUCUUUUUUUUCAGGUGGGUAGUAGAUACCCCUAAUUCUACUGUCGGACACUUGUCCAUUUUUUCCGCUCAAGUGGGCAUCUUUGUACCCCUAAUUCUACUUCGGACACUUGUCCAUUUUUACCUCUCGUCUCACUCUUUUUCUUUCUUUAUCGAGGUUCCGGGCACUUGCCCCUUUUUAUUUCCUCGUAUAUUUUUGCAUAACCCAUGCCUCUUCUGCACUGAAUUUUUUUAGAGAGAGAGAAUAACAAUAUUCGGGACAGUGAGUGAUAACAUUUUUAGCAAUUUUAAUGAUUGGUGAUGAAUGCUGUGGUAGAUGUGUGCAAGUGAAUAUCUUAAUUUAACCACAUGAAAAGCUCCUAAGGGUCGACACAGCUCGAUCAAACUCAAUGUAAAUAUAGUAAAAGAUGUUAUAGCAAGUAUGGCUGUGGUAGGUAGUUUGUUAUGCUAGGAACUCAUCAUGUGAUUUGUAAGUUUUCAAAAUAAAUCUCCAGAACUUAGUGUAGUAGGAACAAGAUAAACAGCAGCUCAACUUUAUAUCAUGCCUUUCUCUUACCUAGACUUUAGUUUUAUGCUUUCUAAAGAUAGUAAUUUUAGUUUUAGUAAUUCCCGGAAGAAUUCUAAUAUAAAAGCUAGGUACUUGUAAGUAAGCAAAUAGAGCAACUAUUCAUCAUUUCCAUCAUGCAUCUUUUUGGUCUUAUUAUUUUUUUUAGAGAUUAAACUUAGCAGAAAAAUAAAGCACACUUAUCUACACACUCUUUUUAGUUCGUUUUCAUGUUUAUUAAGUGCAGUAGAUUAAAGCAAGAAAAUAUUUAUUUGGUUUUCUAAGUUUUCCUUUUAAGAUAAAUAAAAUACUAAGACAGAAUAGAAUAAAUAAGAAGAGCAAAUAAAAACUUACUUGAUAAAUUAGGGAGGAACUCCCCCAAGCUGGAUGUUGACGCCGGUCUUACCCGAUGUUCCAGAACCGCAUCAUGGUUGUGAUGUUGUCGUUCAUUGUUGUUGUAUCUUGUCUCAGUUCUUGUACUGCAGCGGCAUGGUCCUGGUUCCAUUUUUGUUGCUCUUCCAGGAGUCUUCCAUGUUCUGCUUGCGUGUUCUGGAUGUCGAGGAGGGUGUUGUCGGUACGAGUGAAGAAAGCAC